rnacentral:rRNA from 1 species
UGGGGAAUAUUGGACAAUGGGCGCAAGCCUGAUCCAGCCAUGCCGCGUGAGUGAUGAAGGCCCUAGGGUUGUAAAGCUCUUUCACCGGUGAAGAUAAUGACGGUAACCGGAGAAGAAGCCCCGGCUAACUUCGUGCCAGCAGCCGCGGUAAUACGAAGGGGGCUAGCGUUGUUCGGAUUUACUGGGCGUAAAGCGCACGUAGGCGGACUUUUAAGUCAGGGGUGAAAUCCCGGGGCUCAACCCCGGAACUGCCUUUGAUACUGGAAGUCUUGAGUACGGUAGAGGUGAGUGGAAUUCCGAGUGUAGAGGUGAAAUUCGUAGAUAUUCGGAGGAACACCAGUGGCGAAGGCGGCUCACUGGACCAUUACUGACGCUGAGGUGCGAAAGCGUGGGGAGCAAACAGG